AAAUUGAAGAGUUUGAUCAUGGCUCAGAUUGAACGCUGGCGGCAGGCCUAACACAUGCAAGUCGAACGGUAACAGGAAGCAGCUUGCUGCUUUGCUGACGAGUGGCGGACGGGUGAGUAAUGUCUGGGAAACUGCCUGAUGGAGGGGGAUAACUACUGGAAACGGUGGCUAAUACCGCAUAACGUCGCAAGACCAAAGAGGGGGACCUUCGGGCCUCUUGCCAUCAGAUGUGCCCAGAUGGGAUUAGCUUGUUGGUGAGGUAACGGCUCACCAAGGCGACGAUCCCUAGCUGGUCUGAGAGGAUGACCAGCCACACUGGAACUGAGACACGGUCCAGACUCCUACGGGAGGCAGCAGUGGGGAAUAUUGCACAAUGGGCGCAAGCCUGAUGCAGCCAUGCCGCGUGUAUGAAGAAGGCCUUCGGGUUGUAAAGUACUUUCAGCGGGGAGGAAGGUGUUGUGGUUAAUAACCGCAGCAAUUGACGUUACCCGCAGAAGA
rnacentral:rRNA from 1 species